rnacentral:rRNA from 1 species
CCUACGGGAGGCAGCAGUGGGGGAUAUUGCACAAUGGGGGGAACCCUGAUGCAGCGACGCCGCGUGGGUGAAGAAGCGCCUCGGCGCGUAAAGCCCUGUCAGCAGGGAAGAAAAUGACGGUACCUGAAGAAGAAGCCCCGGCUAACUACGUGCCAGCAGCCGCGGGAAUACGUAGGGGGCAACCGUUAUCCGGCGUUACUGGGUGUAAAGGGGGCGCAGGCGGCGAUGCAAGCCAGGAGUGAAAGCCCGGGGCCCAACCCCGGGACUGCUCUUGGAACUGCGUGGCUGGAGUGCAGGUGAGGCAGGCGGAAUUCCUGGUGUAGCGGUGAAAUGCGUAGAUAUCAGGAGGAACACCGGUGGCGAAGGCGGCCUGCUGGACUGCAACUGACGUUGAGGCCCGAAAGCGUGGGGAGCAAACAGGAUUAGAUACCCCAGUAGUC